rnacentral:lncRNA from 1 species
GAUAUCACUGUAUGAUCCAUAGGGUCAUACAAAUGACCCUAUAGUUCGUCACUUUUCAAGUUUGCCCUGUUCAAUCAAUAGGUUGGAUGGUGAUGGGAACAAUAUGGGUGGACCAUACAAGUUUUGACAUGUGGGACCCACUCCCCUCUAUGAAUGUCUAUGCGUCCAACCCAAUUAUGGAUGCUGAUAAGAUAUUAUAUGAUUUUGUAAAAUGAUAUUUGCUUUAUAUUUUCUCCCAUAUAUUUUUUUCAUUUUUAAAGAAAUUAUUAUACAUAUGUAUUUAAAUUUAUUGAGUGUAAAAUGAUAUUUGCUUUAAUAUUUUCUCCCAUAUAUUUUUUUCAUUUUUAAAGAAAAUAUUUAUACAUGGAGAUGUAUUUAAAUUUAUUGAGACAAUAUAGGUAAUACCUUUUUCAAAAAUUAAAUUAUGGAAGCAUGAGAAAGGUUGAAUUUAUUGUAUAUAAAACCCGGAAAAAAGAAGGUAUGAAAAGAAUUAGUUAUUUGUUUUGAAUAUUUUGGGCUUUUUACAAUUUCGUAACUCUUUUCCGUUACAUACCCUUUUAGAAUCAAAUGAGAAUGGCCAAAAUUUAGGAAAAUCAGCCCGUUUAAAUUCGCCUGAGAGACUGAUACAACUAAAUAGACGUAUUUGAAAUAUUCUUAAUUCCAUAGAGGUAGUCAAUGAUAAAAUAAAAAGAAUAAAUCCCAUACUGGCAUUCCAGAUUAAAAUAAAAAGGUAGAUUGUGGCAUUCCCCAUUUUAAGUGGAGAGGAAAACAUAACGGAGCGUAUGAUGCCUUUCAUUUAUAACCCGGCUGAGUUUCUUCCCUCAUUUGUAUUUUGGUAUGUCAUGUCUUAUAGCUGAUGACUUUGUGCAAGUAUCUGUUGUUGGCUUGUUGCUUCAUAUCAUUGUGUAAGCAGCUCUCUUGAGUAUGAAUUUCUCUACUCAUGCACACCAUUCACUAUCAUUUUUUCAUAUAAUACAUCGAUAUAUCGUAGAAUUUACAUUGUCUUAGAAUUUACAUUUUCAAUGUGUUGUUUUAGGUGUAGAUUCUCUUCAGCUGAUUUUAGUGGCGCAUAAUUUGAUAUAGUGCCUUUUUUAUUUGUGAAAUUUUUUAUUUAAUAUAGGGUUGCGUUAUGUUUUGUAAUGAUUAUCUCAAUAAGGCUCGUGAUCUUUCAUGGUUUUCACUUUCCAUCUAGAUCAAGGUGUUGUUUUGGUUGCAGUGGUGUUGGUUGCAGUGUCUCUUAUAUGGAAAAAGUUUAUACAAGGGCCAGGCUCUAAAAAUUCAAAUUAAGGUGCAUCUCAAAAAUUCACUAGAAGAGGUUGUUUUGAAUUUACAAGGCCCAAAAAUCCUCAAAUUGAUCAUCUCAACUUUAUGUACAUGAAAAAAAAAAGAUUUCAAGUCUUGGAAAUGGUGCAUAUUGUAAUGCAUUUUUGGACCAUCAAUUUUCAAGAUUUUCAAGUGUUUAUAGAUCUUUUUGAUCGACAUUAUUUUUAAAGCUUUAAAUUUUAUAAUUAGAGAUGAAAAUAAAUUUUCAGGUCAUCACAAAGAUAUCCAAUAUUGAAACAACAUUUUUCGAUACUAUUUAAAGGUGUGCCUAUUUAAAGGUGUGCCUUACUUUGAUGGUUUAGAGCCUCGGCCUCGUACAAGCCACACCCUUCUUAUAUUAUAUGCGGAAGAUAUGAUCUUAUGAACAUAGAAUAACUCUCGUCACUAGUGUUAUUAUGGUCCAAUCAAGGGAUGGUCAUGAUGGAGAGAGUGGGACUUGCCCUUGGUUAUAUUUUACGCUGGUGGAUCCAGCAAUUGCCAUUGUCCAUCCAUAGGUUGGUUUUGGUGGCACUUGUCAAUAGUAGAAUUUCUAUAUUUCUUGGAUCAUGGUAUAUCAGCGGCAUUGUAGACGAACAACUUUUUGCACAUCCAUCGUCUCGGACCUCCAUGAACAUGGAUCUUAAAGAAAAAAAACAAAAAAGAAAACAAAAUGGAUUUGGAGUCGUAAAAAAUGGUCCAUAUUAUGCCAUUUUAUCUGGGCCAUUUUCUCAAUUCUUGGUAGAUAGUCGGGUCUGGGCUAUUUAUAGAGCUUCAAAUCCAUAUCAGGAGCGGAAAUGGAUUUGCAGUGUUUCAAAUUGUUUUUUGGCCCUUGGAAAACUGCGUUUGGACUUGUUUUUCUUUUGCUUCUUUUUCGGUCGGUGGUUUUGGGUGGCGGUGGUGGGGGCGCUUUCUUAGUAACCCCUUGUCACCGAGGGCAGAGCUAGCCAUUUGAUCAUUCCCAUGGUUUUGUUGUGACUAGAGCAAGUUUGUUUCUAAGGUCUCAAGUGAUCAAAAUCUAUCUGCAAGGUCUCAUGGUAAAUAUAUUCAUUCUAUUGGCAGCCAGAAUGUCAGCAGAAAGUGUAUCUUGAAAAGACAAAUUCUUCGUUAUUCUUUUUUUUUUCCUUCUGGGACGGGAAUCAUUAAGGUCUAAAUAAAUUGGACUUAUUAUGUUUAUGAAUAUUGAACUUAUAGAAAAAUAUGCGUCUAUGAAAAUGUCAACUGAAACUAUAGAAACAAAU